rnacentral:rRNA from 1 species
CCUACGGGAGACAGCAGUGAGGAAUAUUGGUCAAUGGUCGGGAGACUGAACCAGCCAAGCCGCGUGAGGGAUGAAGGUACAGAGUAUCGUAAACCUCUUUUGUCAGGGAACAAAGGCGGGGACGUGUCCCCGGAUGAGUGUACCUGAAGAAAAAGCAUCGGCUAACUCCGUGCCAGCAGCCGCGGUAAUACGGAGGAUGCGAGCGUUAUCCGGAUUUAUUGGGUUUAAAGGGUGCGCAGGCGGUCUGUUAAGUCAGCGGUCAAAGCCCGGGGCUCAACCCCGGCCCGCCGUUGAAACUGGCAGUCGCGAGUUGGAGAGAAGUAUGCGGAAUGCGCGGUGUAGCGGUGAAAUGCAUAGAUAUCGCGCAGAACUCCGAUUGCGAAGGCAGCAUGCCGGCUCCACACUGACGCUGAGGCACGGAAGCGUGGGUAUCGAACAGGAUUAGAUACCCGUGUAGUC